GAACGAACGCUGGCGGUAUGCUUAACACAUGCAAGUUAAACGGGUUCAUUUAGGGCUUGCUCUAGAUGAAUACAGUAGCAAACGGGUGAGUAAUACGUAGGAAUCUGCCCAUCAGUACGGAAUAACAUUCAUACCGAAUGCUAAUACCGUAUAUUCUCCGAGGAGGAAAGAUUUAUCGCUGAUGGAUGAGCCUACGUCAGAUUAGGUAGUUGGUGGGGUAAAGGACCGUACCAACGCCUGUGAUCUGUAGCUGGUCUGAGAGGAGUGGUCAGCCACACUGGGACUGAGACACGGCCCAGACUCCUCCGGGAGGGCAGCA
rnacentral:rRNA from 1 species